rnacentral:rRNA from 1 species
UACGGAGGGGCGAGCGUUAUUCGGAAUUAUUGGGCGUAAAGGGCGCGUAGGCGGCUCUAUAAGUCAAAGGUGAAAUCCCUCGGCUUAACCGAGGAACUGCCCUCCAAACUGUCUGGCUUGAGACCGGGAGAGGUGAGUGGAAUUCCCAGUGUAGCGGUGAAAUGCGUAGAUAUUGGGAGAACACCAGUGGCGAAGGCGGCUCACUGGACCGGUACUGACGCUGAGGCGCGAAAGCGUGGGGAGCAAACGGGAUUAAGAAACCC